CACAAGCAACAGGGCAGGCUCAUUCAAGUUGAUGUUCCUGCUCUAUUUUGUGUUGAACAUUUCGUUCCCAGAAGAAGUGGGCCUUACACUUGAAUUUAUUCAAAGGGGUAUUGCAAGCAUCAACCCACCGAGGGGCACCAAGAUUCUUAAAAAGAAGAAGAAGCAACACUGUGUGUCACCCGCGGCUGCCAAGCUGAUGGCUUUCCUGGAGGAAUAUGCCUUUUAAGCUGAAACAGUCUUAAAGCCUUCCUGAUUUAAAUAAAAGUGGCCGCCAAGUCAAGCAAACUAAUGGCACUAUCAAGAUUUCCCUGGUGCAAGUUCUCUUCAAUAUUUUUGUCCAUAAAAAGAAUACCAGGUAUAUACUCAGGAAGUGUAUCGUUAAGAGCCCAAGAGGGCAGAGUUAAGAGUCGAAGUAGGUAUGUUCAAUAAAUUCCAUUUAGUCUGAGCCCCAAGC